UUCUAGGUCUAAAUACGCCCAAAACACCAGAUCCUGUCUGAUCCUGGAAGCUAAGCAGGUUCAGCUCUGCUAAGUACUUGGAUGGGAGACCACUAAAGGCUAUCAGGUGCUAUAGGCU
rnacentral:rRNA from 11 species